UCCUACACAGGACUGGCAUGCUGGGC
rnacentral:piRNA from 1 species